UGUUGUUCAAGCCACCCAAUCCAUAGUACUUUCUGAUGGCAGCCCUGGCAAACUAACACACAGGGUGAUAGAAGCAGUGUGAGCAAUGGGGAACGCUGCACCCAAGACUUGGAAACAUUGCCAAAAAGAGGAAGAACACAUAUUCCUUUACACUUUGAUGUGUGGAUAUUGAAAAGAGAACAGGUCCUGAAAGGAAGCUCUGCCUUCUGUGAUACUGACUGAUGAGAGAAAGAGGAGGAGGAGAGAGGAGAAGAGGAGAGGAAAGGAGAAGGAAGAGCAGCCCCAUCAGGUCACACGACGGUUGCUGAAGAUCUAGGCAUCAGUUCUUACCAGGAGCAUAGGAGGGGUGCCAGUACAUCUGUGAAUGGCUAUUGGGUUAGCCAACCUUCUGUGUCUGCCACACGCCAGAUGGUUAAAUAAAG
rnacentral:lncRNA from 1 species